CCUGUGUUGCCAGCACGUCGUGGUGGGAACUCACGGGGGACCGCCGGGGUCAACUCGGAGGAAGGUGGGGAUGACGUCAGAUCAUCAUGCCCCUUACGUCCAGGGCUUCACGCAUGCUACAAUGGCCGGUACAACGGGAUGCGACACUGUGAGGUGGAGCGGAUCCCUUAAAACCGGUCUCAGUUCGGAUUGGAGUCUGCAACCCGACUCCAUGAAGGCGGAGUCGCUAGUAAUCGCGGAUCAGCAACGCCGCGGUGAAUGCGUUCCCGGGCCUUGUACACACCGCCCGUCAAGUCAUGAAAGUGGGUAGCACCCGAAGCCGGUGGCCCAACCUUUUGGGGGGAGCCGUCUAAGGUGAGACUCGUGAUUGGGACUAAGUCGUAACAAGGUAGCCGUACCGGAAGGUGCGGCUGGAUCACCUCCUUUCUACGGAG
rnacentral:rRNA from 1 species